GAGGCUCCGUUCUGUAAAUCUGGAUUUGUUGAACUUGGGGUCAACUUCAGCCGUGAAGCAAACGCUACAGUGGUCGUUAGAUCAAGAAUCGAAGGUUUAGAUUGCGACAAGUCUGAUAAUAGCUUUAAACGGCAGCGCUCUACUAGACUAAUGGUGAUCAAGGUUCGAUUUAAUUCGAUUCGAACUAAAUCGUAAACCAAAUCAUGAAACACGGUUUGCCCUUUCCUUGAGCCGAAUCGAACCGCAAGCUUGAAUGAACCGAAUCGAUUAGAAUCAAAUCGAACCGUGAAUAACAAUUUGUUUUGGUUUAGUUUGGUUCGAUUCUAUUGUUUCCGUCAUGUACACAUUUACAUGAGUUACAGAGUGAGAGAGAGAGACUAAGUGAGUGAAUGAGAGAAAGUGUGAGCGAUCAUGCUAUGGUGAUCGAUUGGAUAGGGACCGCCGGUGCAAACUUGGGGGUCACCUGAGUGAGUAAGAGAGAGCGUAAGCAAGUAGAUUUGUUCAAAAAAUUUGGUGAAAUCGAAAACUUAGUCCAAUCUAAUUCAAACCAUUUGGUUUUGUUUAGGUUUUUGAAGAAACAAUUUGGUUUCGGUUAUGAAAUUUUAAAAAACAACCUAAACAUUUCGGUUCACGGAUUUGUAUGGCCGAUUUAAGUUCCAAUAAAUCCUCAUCUUAUAUUUGACGAGACUACUCCCUCCUUAUAUAAAAAGUCCAACAAUAAUAUGAUUUUUUUUAUGGAUAUGUAGUUGUUUAGUCGAAAAUUUAACAUGGAUACGUGGUUAUUUUGUAAAAAUAUUAUUUAUAUUAUUAUAAAAAGGCAACAACUUUAGUUUGGUAUGAACUAUAAUUUGAAGCAUGUACACAUUAUUUUUAUGUCGAAAAUACUUCUAAAAUUGCUUUACAAUAAUAAUUGCUACAUAAUUUUUAAAAAAAAUAAUUAUAUUCCUGCAUAACUUUUGCACAAGCAUCGCGUGGGCACCCACGCUAAUGGAUAUAUAUAUAUGUGUGAUUGUUUAAUUAAAAUUUUCAUAAUUUAUGUACUAAAACCCCAGUUCCAAAUUGGAAUCAAACUGUAAUUUUUAGAUCUGGAUUGGAUUGGUUACAAGUUUUAGAUAGAUCAAAUUGGUUCAAAAAAUUCAAGAAUCGUAUGAUUUAGUUUGGUCCUUGGUUUUACUCAUAACUGAACUAAUCCGAUACGUGUACACUCCUAUAAGCAAAAGGGAAAGAGAGAGAAUUGGUCCUUGGUUUUACUCAUAACUGAACCAAUCCGAUACGCGUACACUCUUAUAAGCAAAAGGGAAAGAGAGAGAAGGCGCAAGAGAGACAACUCUCAGACGACAGACAUCGAUCAUCCACGCACAGUUAGGUUUCGGUAUAUCUGGUUUGAGGAUUUAGAUUAGAUUUCUAAAUGACUAACGGUUCGGUUCAAUUCGAUUCAAAAACGCAGUUCAAACUACAAAAACCGUGAACCGAACUCUUAGCUAUCAGUUCAAUUUAAUUGAACCACGAAUCAAACCGUACGAUUUAGUCGAUUUUGCGGUAUAGUCGGGUUUUUUCCUCACUCUUACAAUUGACGGGUUACAAACAGACCAUUAACAUUGUUAACAGCUUCGAUCCACCAAAAAUCACCUUCUUUUAUAUCAAUUGGAAAUCACAUCUGAAUCACAACUUCUUCUAUUUCUUUUGUGCCAAAUCGAAAACCACAUGAUUCAUCUGUGUCUGAAGCUCAUCCGCCAUAACUAAACCCAGUUUUUCACAAAAACAGACGAUAUCAUCUUAAUUACAGAACAUUAGCAAGCAACCACCGUUCAAGACCCACAAGAAAAUUUACCUAAGCAAAUAACCUACAAUAAGAUUCCGGCAAAGAAGCUUAAAAACCAUGGAAGCUAAUGAAGAGCAUUCACAUCGAGAGAUUAUUCAGUGCACUUAGAGUAUUGUUUUACAUUAUUUAAUGAAUGACAUAUUUACACAAGUUAAUCAUAACUUGAUCAAAAAAUAAUUAAUCUUAUUUUUUAGACCAAUUACUAAAAUGUUAGAGCACUACUAGCAUUUAAUCCAAAAAUACUGAAUAAUUUCUCAUAUACAUCCAAUCUGUUUUUAAGAUAAUUUAUCUAAUAGAAUUUAAAAAGUAUUCACAUUAGAUUAGCUAAACCAACUUACAAAUUUAAUAUUGUUACAGUUGUUUGUCAUUUUUUACUAGAUACUAUUCGUUAUGCAUCUACUUUUUUUUUUUACUUUCUAUAAUAGAGAUGUUGUUGGAGUAUUUAACUUUUAUAAAGUGAUUAACUAAAAUAAAAGUGUUGAUUUUUUGAGUUAUAAUUUUAUUUAAAUUUAGUGAGGUUGAUGUGGAUGCUCUAAUUUGGUGGUCGUUAAUUGACAAACGGAAGCUAGGACGCCUUAAUGGAACGGUAUCGUUUUCAAUGAUUUUCAGAGGAAACAUAAUUUCCAACUUUGAUUUUUCAUCGUGCGAUCUAGGAGUAAGAAAUUCCAAGAAAACCGA
rnacentral:lncRNA from 1 species